UUAAUGUGUUCAUGUUAUUACUUUAUAGUGUUGUGUGUUCAAGAUAUAGUUACUUCUUUAGGUAUUGCUAUUCAAAUUACAUUGUGUCCGUAUAGAAAAGUCACUGUUAUAUAUUAAAUUAACUUUCCGUUGUAUAAGAAAUCAGAAUUGCAUGUGGUUUCUUUGGGAGAUGGGGUUGAAGGAGGCACCUGGUAAUACUGUUGCUGUUGUCAGUAAAAUGAAUUGAAAAUGAGAAGGUUGGGUCGGAUGAUCUCCGUGGUCUUUUCCCACCUCCAUGAGCAGUGUUUGCUUUCCCAGCUCCUUCCCCGGCAGCCCACAGCAGACGUCUGGGGGGAGCAGCACUGCUUGCCUCUUGGAGGGCGAUUUCAUGGCCAGGCCGGGAAUGUGCGCCGCGUCCCUCUGCCACGGGGCAGAGAUGCUGCUGGAGGAGGUUCUGCUCAUCUGCUGUGCUCCUGAGAUGGGCACCCUCUGCUCCGCCAAGGGGCCUGCUGCUGGCUCUGAGCGCUGUGUGCUGCUGGACAGCCGGCUGUGCUCGUGCUGUAGGGGUGCCAUCCGGUUUGGCAAGGGGCUGAACGGCCCCCAGCACCAUCUGCAGCACAGAGCAGGCGUGAGAACCCCAGAGCCCCAGAGCUGGCCUUGGGCAAACAGGGAAACCCAACCCACAGCGAGCCCUGCGCAUGGACAGGGCUGUGCCGGGCCAUGGCCAC
ensembl:lncRNA